UCCAGCUUAACGCUGGCGGUUUCCUUAGAGUUCCCAACUUAAUGAUGGCAACUAAGGACGAGGGUUGCGCUCGUUGCGGGACUUAACCCAACAUCUCACGACACGAGCUGACGACAGCCAUGCAGCACCUGUGUGUUAGCCAGCCAAACUGAAGAGAUUCAUCUCUGAAUCCCAUACUAACCAUGUCAAGGCCUGGUAAGGUUCUUCGCGUUGCCUCGAAUUAAACCACAUGCUCCACCGCUUGUGCGGGUCCCCGUCAAUUCCUUUGAGUUUUAAUCUUGCGACCGUACUCCCCAGGCGGAGUGCUUAAUGCGUUAGCUUCGCCACUGGGAACUGAGCCCCCAACGGCUAGCACUCAUCGUUUACGGCGUGGACUAC
rnacentral:misc_RNA from 1 species